rnacentral:tRNA from 1 species
UGGGGAGUAGCCAAGUGGUAAGGCUCUGGACUUUGACUCCAGGAUGCGAAGGUUCGACCCCUUCCUCCCCAACCA